GUGGGGCCCCGGGACGUGGGUUUUAACAAGCCCCUGGGAUUUUCUGACAUUCAGUCAAGUUUGAGCACUGUCCAGAAGGCCAUGGGGAGCCCCCGAGGAGUCGGGCUAGGGCGCUGGAAAGGCCGCCCAGAGUGUUCUUCAGGUUGGGGCGCCCCGCCCCGUCCUCCCGCCAGGCCCCGCCCCGCCCCGCCCCGUCUGCGCCUGCGCCGGCCGGCUGCUCUCCCCACCCUACCCCCCGCCCCUCCGCGGAGCCGGGGUCGCCGAGGGGUAGCGUUGCAGCAGCCAGUCCCGCAUUCCUCUCACUUCCCGCCAUUGUCCCUGGUUCCUGUGGCCGCGUCUCCGCACUCGACCCGGCCGCCCCUUGGCCCCGAGGAGUGGUUCCAGAGAGGCAGGGAAACUCACUCCAGUCCAGGUAUUUCAGGUUAUUUCACAAGACCAGGGCCAUCCAAGGGCGCCUUCCUUUAGGAAACACAGAAGGAGUCAUGCGAAGGCCACACAGUGAGCUGGGACUCACACCACACCCGUCCUACCUCACACCUCUUCACUUCCUUCCAUGCUGAAUGCGACCUGCAGGGCCCAGCAUCUGAAAUGGUGAAAGGACUCACAGGGUUCUGCCGCUGGAAACGCCCAGCCCUAUCCGCUUGGAUGUGUCCACCACACUUAAGAGGAAUCCUGGGGUCAUCUGACUGGCUCACUUGGUAGAGCACGCGACUCCUGAUUUCAGCCUGUGCAUGUAUUAACUCCCUCGUUUUGAACUUGAAGAGAUACAUGUGAAGAUGGUACUUGGCUGGUCAUGAGAUGGGAAAAUAGCAAGAUUCCUUGAGGUUCUUCCAGCUGGAGGGCCCAGAGUUCCUGCUGGGUGCGGAGGUGUCCCCUUGGUCCUCAAGACUGUCUGGGCACCACCUCCCCACCCAAACUUCCCCAUGUCUGCCACUGGGGGUCUGUGCAGGGUUGUGCGGACAGCUCUGCAGCCUUGGGCAAACCAGAGGCCCUUCUCUGGGUCCAGUUUUACUCCUCCGCCAAGACGGGGAUCGACUGAGUUGCCUUCCAGGUCUCACCCCACUUCCUGGGCUCUCUGGUGAUGAGCCAGCGGGGCACCUCCUGCAGCUCACUCUUGCCUGGGAGGAGGGGGCAGGGAAGGAGCCCGGGCCGCCUGCCAGGCUCCCUGAAGGGUGGGAAAUGAGUCGGCAAGGAAACUAGAAUUUGCUGUUAAUCCAAGCACGAGUAAGGGCAAGACGGUUGCCAAAAAGAGGCUGUUUCUACUCCGAGCAGCAAGAAGGUUUGGGAGGGAAGCCCGCACCAAGAGACCAGAGCCAGGACUCCUCACCCUUCCUGCGGCCACCUCCUGCUCCAUCUCCCACUUCCUCGUCCUCCCUUCUCUCGGACACACUUUUCCAAAGAGCAUCUACACGCCCUGCUGUCAUCUCAUUUACCCUUUCACUCUUGCAGGGGAGUUCCCGCCCCUGCUCUCCUGUCCCUGAUCUCGGCCUGCAUCCCCCACUACCAUGACCGUGACCAUGACCGUGACUGUUCUGCUCUGUAGCAGCUGACCUAUCUGACCACUAUCCAACACACCCUCUGUCUUCCUCUGAUCUCCAGCCCUUCCCACUCACUCUUCAACAUGGGGGUUCUCCCAGACGUGCUUCAACUCUCCAUCCUUCCCACCCGCCCCUAGCCUCUCCUUCCCUCCCAGGGCUUCACCAGACUCCCAAGACUGCAUUCAGCAAACGCCACUCUUCCGAGCCCCUGGAUCCCUAAGAGCCCUGACCUCCCACCACUUCCUCAGGGGGGCCGCAGCCCCUCAGAUGCAAGAUGCCACAGCCCGUCAUCUCAUCCUCUUUCUCCCCUAACCCGAUCGCCUUCUGCAGGCACCGCCCUUCGCCUGGUUGCUAGGGCAGAAGUAUCCGAUGCAUUCAGAUGUCCCCCAUGGCUGCCCAGCCCCUCUCCCACACCCUCCUACUCCUCCUCCAGAGCCUCUCCUACCGCCUAAAUGGUUCUCAGCUGCAGCAGCCCCACAAUUCUCAGUUCCGGCCCUCAUUUCCUCUCACCAGACCCUUUCUCCACAGAGUGGCCCGGGAGACUGCUUUAAAUACAAAUCAGAUCAUGACACCAUCUGCUCGAAGCUCUGCAUGGCUCCCCAUGGCUCUUGGGAACAGUGCACACCCCUUAGCCUUGUAGACCCACGACUGAGCCCUUCUCUGCCCCUCCAUCUCCCUCCCCUUCCAACUCUCACCUAUAUAAUUUGUCUUCAAUGAUUUGUUUUAUUUAUUUAUUUAUUUAUAGAGAGGGAGAGGGGGGUGGGGCAAAGAGAGAGAGAGACUCCUAUGCAGGCUCCACGCCCAGAACGGAGCCGUAGGAGGGGCUCAGUUUCACAACCCUGAGACCAUGACCUGAGCCGAAAUCAAGAGUCGGACGCUUAACAGGCUGAACCACCCAGGUGCCCCUGUCUUCAAGAUUUGACAAAUGGUUUUAUUAAAGUGUACUUUAUAUGUAAUAAAAGUCACUCAUUCUAGGUGUAGAGCUUGAAUGUGGGUGAUUGAGUACAGUUAUAUGCACGUUGCUAUUACCCUGAAGGUCCCCUUGGGUCCCUUUGCAGCCCCUCUCCCCAGCCCCAGGCAGCCAUGGAUUUGCAUCAUGUCAUUAUCGCUUUGUCUUCUCCAGAAUUUUACAUAAACGAAAUGAUGCCAUUUGUAAUCAAUCUGUGUUUGACUUCCUACAUUCAGCCUGAUGUUGUGGGAUCUGUAUAUACUACUGCAUGUGUUAACAUGUCAUUCUUUUGGGCGCCUGGGUGGCUCAGUUGGUUAAGCAACUGCCUUCGGCUCAGGUCAUGAUCCUGGAGUCCCUGGAUCGAGUCCCGCAUCGGGCUCCCUGCUCGGCAGGGAGUCUGCUUCUCCCUCUGACCCUCCCCCCUGUCAUGUGCUCUCUCUCAUUCUCUCUCUCUCAAAUAAAUAAAUAAAAUCUUUAAAACAAAACAAAACAAAACAUGUCAUUCUUUUUAUGGUUGAGCAGGAUCCCUUCGUAUGAAUAUACUACAACUGGUUUAUCUGUUCAUCUGUCAGGGGACAUUUGCUCUAUCAUUUUUGGCUAAUAUGAAUAAUGAUGCUGUGAACAUCGCCGUACUAGUCUUUGUAGAGACCUGUUUUAAUUUCUCUUGGUAAAUACCUAGGAGUGAGAUGGCUGGGGCGCAUGGCGAGGGUGUGUUUAAUUUUAUAGGGCCCUUUCAUACCGCUCUCCGAAGUGGCCAGAGUAUUUUACAUUCCCACCAACAGCAUAUGAAUGCUCCAGUCCCCCCCAUAUCCAAUGGUCAGUUCUGUCUCACAUUAGCCAUUCUAAAGGGCAUGCAGUGGCACAUCAUCUCCUGAUGACCACUCACGCUCACGGACUUCUCGUGUGUGUUCUGGCUGUUCUUACGUCUUCUUUGGGGUGCGCCUGUUAAAAUCUUUUGCCCAUUUCUUAAAAAGAUUUUAUUUUUAAGUAAUCUCUACACCCAACACGGGGCUCGAACCUACAACCCCACGAUCACGUUGCAUAUUCUACCGACUGAGCCAGCCAGGCGCCCCUUGCCUGUUUUUUAUUGGGCUCUUGCUCU